rnacentral:rRNA from 1 species
GACGAACGCUUUCCUCUUUCUUAACACCUGCAAGUCGAACGGAAAGGCCCCUUUGGGGGUACUCGAGUGGCGAACGGGUGAGUAACACGUGAGUAACCUGCCCUUGACUUCGGGAUAACUUCAGGAAACUGGGGCUAAUACCGGAUAGGAAUCCUUGCUGCAUGGUGGGGGUUGGAAAGCUUCGGCGGUUUUGGAUGGACUCGCGGCUUAUCAGCUUGUUGGUGGGGUAGUGGCUUACCAAGGCUUUGACUUUUAGCCGGCCUGAGAGGGCGACCGGCCACUUUGGGACUUGGUUACGGCCCCAACCCCUCGGGGGGGCAACAGUGGGGAAAUUUGCCCAAUGGGGGGAAGCCUGAUGCAGCAACCCCGCGGGCGGGAUGGCGGCAUUCGGGUUGUAAACCCCUUUCAGCAGGGGCGAAGCUUGUGGUGGCGGUACCUGCAGAAGAAGCACGGGUAAACUACGG